UCCCCAACGAAAAGCCCCUUGAUGAAUGUUGGUGACAAAUUGUUGAAAUAUAAAUCCUUUAGAAUACAAACAUUUCAUGAGUUUUUGUAAUACGUGUCUUAUCCUGAUUGGUUCUAAUGGCUGAGUUUACGGUGGUAGCGCCCGUAGAGGAUAAUUCUUUACACUACCGGAGAGAAUUGGGUUUGGAGAUAAGAAGAAGAGAGGGGGAACUUCAUCAAUGGCUUUUGUUGUAGCCUCGGCUUCGUUGCGUUUAUGGAAUCCCAAUGGCAAAACCGGCGUUACUUCGCUCUGUCUGCGUAAUGGUUCAAUGAGAGAGAGAGAGUCAGAGUGUUCUCUCAGCUCUUCCGCUUCUUGGCAGUUUCUCCACUGCUCGUUUCUCUCUUCACCUCUCUCGGCUAGCUUCACCAUUUUCUGGUUCAAUGGUUAUAGGUUUUCCGCACAAAUUGCUUCAAAGCGUCAGAUGAACUUGUCCUCCUCCCUUGAUCAUAACUUUGUUGUAAAGUUUAUUGUAACUAGCCUCUAAGAGUUGUGCAGUUAAUAUAAGCUUUGCCAGUUUAGCAGAAACAGACCUUAGCUCAAGGGUCAUUUUGGAUUGUCUAGGUCUUGGUUCUGGGCAGUGUGUCAAGAGUUAAGGGUAUACUCUAAUUGAUCAAGUCUCUAGUAUUAUUGUAUGAUGUGGAAUGAAUGGCCAGAGACGCAGAGGUGAGAGCUGGAAAAGCUGCUCUGUGUCAAACAUAGAGAAGCAGAUCAAGAAAAUCUCUGGCUAGGACUCAUGGUUUCCGCAGGAGGAUGCGGACCACUAGGGGUAGAGCGUGUCAAGGGACGCUGGAACCUCUGUCCUAAGUCCAACCCUAGCAGUGGCAAACAGUCUUGAGUGUUCUUUCUCUUCUCACUAAUCUGUAAUCUUGUUUGUGUUGCCAGAAGAUACAAUGAGAGAAACAUGAUUGAUGAUGAUUAUAUGAGCUCUUUUCUUCGUUUAGAUCUUAUGUAUUCUUGAUCUGUUGUUAUAAGUCAAUGUUCAUGGAAUCCAUCUCA